rnacentral:lncRNA from 1 species
AUGUAUUUUAUGCUUAGAUAAGGUUUAUAAUCAUUAGUGCUGACUGUAAGGAUAUGAAAUGGUUAACUCUUUUUGCUUUAUAUGCUUUAAAAUAAUGUUUGAAAUAAUUAUGCUGACUUUGGCAGAUGUAUUUUGUACCAAGGUCUUUCGUCUACAGGAUGUAUGACCUUGCUCGACCUCAGGAUGUUACUGUGACCUCUUUAUUCAAACGCUUAUCUUUUUAAUGUCAGACAAGUAUGCACUACUAACUUUAAGAAAGUGAUAAAUCUCGCUGCUUGCGUGACAAACUGUGUAUAAAUGCUAGCCCUGAAAAUAUACUCAUUGAGAACUUGUUAAGCACUAUUUCGUGUCUGUGUGUCUUAAUUUGCUAACAAGAACUCCCAUCAAUUGAUGUGGUGACCGGAGGAUCAAUAAUCGAGGGGAGUUGAGUCCAGAACAGCAUUAACCCUUUCAGCUUGGUGUCAGAAGUGGGAUACAGCAGGACCAUUUGCGGUGAGUAGCCUUUUUGUGUCUUAUUGACGCUAAUUGUGUAUGACCCCCUUUGGUUCAGUAAGUCUGUAUCCAGUAGAAAGGAAAGGUGUAAGGACUUUAGUUAUAUUGAGACUGUAAAUAGGUUUCUGGUUUAUUAUAGGGUUUUGGUAACCCAGGUUAGUAUCUAAGAUAGAUACAGGGUAUCUCAGGUAGAUACAGGUUUUGAGACCAUAAGAGGUCUCCAGUUUAUUAAGACUAUAGGUGUUCUGAGGAGCACGGUUUAUAGAUCUAUAGGUAUACCCCAAACUUCUCUUUCUCCUGGUCACCUUUGUUUGUCUUAAGUGUUCUUUGUGGGUGAUUGUCUGUAUUGGGGACACACUUUGGUAAGUAAGUAGUGUGUCUGCCCUGAGUCAGCAGUAUGGGAAAUGUAAGUUCAGGUCCUGAGUGACCAAUAUAUAUAUAUAUAUAUAUAUAUAUAUAUAUAUAUAUAUGUAUAUAUAUAUUAGAUACCAGUACUGUAUAUUAGAAAAUAACUGACUCGCAGGUUGUACCUGAUAGACCUACUUAAAUCUUUUGCUUUAUUCUUUCUGUCGCAUAGAAGUAUAGUUUAUUACUCUGUUUUAUUGCAAGUUAUUUCACAUGGGAUCUGUGUGCCUGGUAUGAUUGUUACUUUAAUACCAUAAGCCCACUACACUUUCUAUGAGAGUGGGAUAGUGUAAAUGUGUUACAUUGUUUGCAUGAUGAGCUCAGUAUUUUUAUAACUGAGACAAAAAGUCACUUCAUUAGUAUUUGAUAGUUAAUUCCCCAUAUGGGAUUAAUUGUAUAGAACACCAAUCAGCACAUCUUCCAUACCCUGCGUGUUUGUUGCAAAGGAUCCAUACUGUAAAUAUGAUUUUUGUUUGUAAAUAAGAGAGCAACAUUUAAAUUUUCAGCGGUCCAACACAUGCUUCAUUUUGUGCUGAAAGCUAACCUUUUUAUUGCUACAGAUGCUUUAAAUGAUUCAGCUACUGCAUAUGUUUUGUGUCUUCUAUGUCUCACAUUAUAUGUGUUCUUUUAAAUUGUGGUAUAUAGCCUGGAUCAGAGAUCAUGGACAAAGGUUUCUACCUGUGUUACCUGUGUUACUCUUGGAGACUGACUGGUCUAAAGGUUUGCCAUGCCUUAGAUGGUAUAGUAUAAAUUUUUUAAGUCUCUGAGAGUUCUGAAAGAUUCGGGUGAAACCAUGUCCGUGUAAUCUGGUCCAGAUGUUUGCAAAAUUUCUAUAAGAUUUAAGUUGAUGCAGCAUCAUCUCAGAUUAGUUAAUGGAAGUUUCAUACAGAUAUUUGAGUUAUGAGCGCGCUAUAUAAAUGGAUCCUUUAUAUACAAUACUGUAGUAGAUUAAAGUAAUGGCGUUAAUUAGGAAAAAAACAUGUAUGCAUAAGAAUUCCUAAAAUAAAUCUAAUACAAACUAAAAUUGGCAUACCUUACAAUAAUAUGUUCUGAGUACAGCUGUUAACUGUUUAUUCUGUGUAAAUGAUGAUUGUGAUAAAGUGUGAAGUGUGCAGCUUAACUGGAAAGUAGUUUAAUUUAUAUGUUGCUGUGUUGUUUUAAAUUAUAUUUGAAUCAGUUUGUCUCAGUCUAGUGAUACUGAUACAAAUGCCAGUCAAAUAACCUAGCAAAUAACUGUUUUAUUAGCUUUUGAAUACUAGCGUUUUGGCCAAGAGUAGUUGGAGUUGGAGUAGUUCUAUGAGCUCAGAGAGGCUCUGUGUUGUGGUCUGAUAUAGCUAUAUGGGAAUGGAGAUUUGGAGGUGUUAGUUUAAGACUGCUUUCAUAAUGUGUCUGCCCGUGUUUCCUAGGAGGGACACAGAGUGUGUAGUUGUGUGCUCAUGAAUGUGUUUUCUGUAUUGGCAUAUCUGCUGGGUACCCGAUACGUGUAUCUACUACGUCUGAGAUGUCUGUUUUGUGAGAUGCCAUGUAAUAUUACAUUGGAUGCUGAGUAUGAGUUAUAUGGUUUGAAAUUAAUUGGUGUGUUAUGUGUUUCAUGUAUUUUAUUGUCCAUUGUGUAGGAGUUUAACUAGCAGAGUGAUUUGCAUAUCAUUAACGCAAGCAUUUAGUGUUUUUACAAAAUGCUGUCCAGCCGGCUAGAAUGAAACAAUUGUAUGCUAUCGCUCCUGGAGCAAGAAAAGCGCUUGUUACAUCCCACGUGAAAGGGGCCCCACAAACUUCUGCUGUUCAAAUCGUGGAUCCACGUUUCCAUUUGCAAACUGAUUAAUCCUGAAAGUCAAUCUUUUACUGAUAAAAAGGAUUGAAUGGACAAGAUGUCUCUCCCUCAUAAAGGAGUUCUAAUAGGGGAGUAUUGUCCAGCUCAGAGUUAACUCUACUUUUAAAGUAUAUUGCAUUGUUUGUGUCAAAGUAAGAUUCAUCUAGAAUGCCUCAUUGAUUAUGGGGUAAUAAUAAAAUGGUAUUUUUAUUAGAGAUUAGACAAUUUCUGAAAUUUAUAAGUGAGUUAAUCUUAAUCUCCUAAACUACUGUAUUAUAUUUGUAUGGGUAAAUUGAAAGCAUUUUUCAGUUCCAGAAGAGGAUUAAUAAAUAAUAUAAUAAUCUCACUAGGUGCGAAAUUAUGCAAAGAGGCUAUCCAAAGUACGCACUAACGGGUUAAACUUGUUUUCUUAAGAAGUGUAUAACAUAUAGUUUUGUGGUUAGACUUUUGAUGCUCAAUUUGAAAUAUAUCCCAACCAGGGCCGGAUUAACAUAGGGGCUGAUGGAGCUGCAGCUCCAGGCACAGGCCCAUGGACAAGGCCCAUUUUAAAAAAAAAAUAAUAAUUUUUUUUUUACACACACUACUCUUAGGCUUGCCACCUGACUGGUAUUUUACUGGCACAGCCGGUAUUUGAGGCUGCCUGGCCGUGCCGGUAUUGCAGUAAUACUGGCAAUACAAAUGCAGAUAUUUUUCUCAGAAUAAAUGGAGAUUACUCUACAAUACCAGCACCAGCCAGUAGGGGUCACUGUGUGUGGAGAGAGGCAGGGAUAGGAAGUUACAGCAUAUCCCUGCCUCUCUCUGCUACUCACUGAUCUGUGGGGGAGCAGCAACACAGCAGAGUCCAGACAGCAGCUCUACAACUCAGGUAAGUGAGGGAUGGGGACACAUGGGGACACUGAGACACUAGGGGACACAUGUGGACACUGAGACACUAGGGGACAUAUGGGGACACUGAGAUACUAGGGGACACAGACUCUAGGGGGCACAUGGGGACACAGAAACUGGGAGACCUGGAAACACUGAGACACGUGGGGACACUGGAAAACAUGGAGACACUGAGACACUAGGGGACACUGAGACACUAGGGGACACUGAGACACUAGGGGACGCUGGGACACAUGGGGAUGCUGAGACACAUGGGGAUGCUGUGAGACAUUGGGAGACACUGAGACAUUGGGACACGGAGACACUAUGUCCCCAUUUCUCCCAGUGUCCCCAUGUCCCCCAUCCAGUGUCGCUAAUGUCUCAGUGUCCCUAAGUCUCCCAGUGUCUGUGUCCCAUGUCUCUCAGUGUGCCUAGUGUCCCCAUGUGUCCCUAUAUGUCCCAGUGUACCCAUGUCUAUGUCCACAACUGUCCCCAAGUCUCCCAGAAUCCCCAUGUCUCAGUGUCCCCAAAUGUUUCAGUGUCCCUAUGUCUCCCAGUGUCUGUGUUCCUAGUGUCUCAGUGUGCCUAGUGUCCCCAUGUCUCCCAGUGUCCCUAAAUGUCCCAGUGUCCCCAUGUCUAUGCCCACAACUGUCCCCAUGUCUCCCAGUGUCCCCAAGUGUCUGUCUUCCAGCCAGUGUCCCCAUGUCUCCCAGUGUCCCCUAGUCUCCCAGUGUCUGUGUUCCCAUGUCUCUGUGCCCCCUCAGGUGUCUUAGUGUCCCCAAAUGUUUCAGUGUCCCCAUGUCUCCCAGUGUCUGUGUCCCUAGUGUCUGUGUCCCCAUUUAUCCCAGUUUCCCUAAAUGUCUGUGUCCCCAUGUCUCUUAGUGUCCCCAUGUCUCUCAGUGUCCCCAUGUCUUUCAGUGUCCCCAGUAUCCUGGUGACAUGGGGACACACUGAGACAUUGGGGCACUGGGAGAAAUGGGGACACAGACACUGGGAGACUAGGGGACUGGGCGACAUGGGGACACUGACACUGUGAUACAUAGGGACACUGAGACACUGGGUGACUUGCAAGACUGAGACACUGGGAGCAAUCCAUCUAUACAGCAGAAUCAAACUGUGAGUAGUUUGUUGGUGAUUUUACAGAAUUUUCUCUGAUGUCACUCCUUGUGAUUAUACAAAUGAUUAAGGCUGGUAUUUUUUUUCCAAGAAAGGUGGCAACCCUAACUACUCUUCACAUAUUCUUGCUUAAAGGAGCACUAUAGGGUCAGGAACACAAUCAUGUAUUUCUGACUCUAUUAUGUUAAAACCAACACCCUGGCCCCCUCUUGCCUCCCUAGGUAUAGUAAAAUAUAACAAGUCUGCAGCUGCUGGCUCUGCCUCUGAAUUGACUGUCUGCUGACAUCAUCAGAAGUGGUGGUCUGAGCAAAUUACAAUACUUCCCCAUAAGAUUGGCUGAGACUGUCAACUAGGCAGAUCGGGGCAGAGCCAGCACAACUCCAACAUAGCCCUGGCCAGUCAGCAUCUCCUCAUAAAGAUAAAUGGAAUCAAUGUAUCUCUAUGAGGAAAGUUCAGUGUCUGCAUGCAGAGGGUGGAGACACUGAAUGGCAGUGCUGCAUACUAGGUAGUACUGCCCCAGGAAGCACCUCUGGCAGCCAUCUAAGGAGUGGCCAGUGGAGUUAUUGUCUCUGAAAAGACAGCGUUUACUGCAAAAGGCCUGAAUGGAAUGAUUCUACUUACCAGAACAAAUGCAAUAAGCUGUAGGUGUUCUGGUGACUAUAGUGCCCCUUUAAGUUUGGAAGCUUAAGAGGGAUGUAUGGGAACAAAACUUGUGUGGACUAGCUGACAAUAAAAUUAGUUUAGGUAAUGCAGACGCUGGUCUCUCUAACACUGUGGCAUGUCCCCUUUCUUCUACACUCACUACAUACACCUUUUCUCUGUCUCAGACUAUAUACCAGGAACUUCGAGGAGACAAGAGGACCAGCGAGUGCUAGGGGACAGUCCUUAGAAAGCACGGAGUGAGCGCAUCAUUAGAUGCAUUUAUGUCAAGCUCCGGGUGCUGUCUGCAUAGUAUGCCCUUAGUUGGACAGCCUGCAGGAUUGGCGGCAGCCUGACAUGCAUUCAUGCCAGGCUGUCCUUCAAAUUCUUUAGACAGACAUGCCCCCUUUUUGGGCAUGUUCUCCCCUUUUGGCAGGUCUGGUCACGUGAUUCACACCAGUGGCCCACCCUUUUACCCCACCCAUUGACUUCCUGCUUCACUGGACACUACUGUUAGGGGUUAUAGAUUUACUUCAAAGCAUAAAUUAGAGAGAGAUUAGCAUAGAGUAUGUGUUUUCCUAUAGCUGCAUCCUAUGAGUUUCCCUCCAGCACCAUCUCCAUCAGAUACAUGAUGCUUGGGAGGUAUGACUGUUUUAGUGUUUUUGGUCGAUAAGAUUCCGUAAUUAGGCCCAUCAUAUUUGUCAGCACCAGGCCCAAUGUGCUCUUAAUCUGGCCCUGAUCCCAACUACAUACUUGCACGGCCCCAGGUACAGGAAGCAAUAUGUAUUUGAAAAAUUUGCAAAGUCUUAGUGUUUUCAAUAUAUUAUAACAAGGGAAAAGUACCUAACCGCAUGUCUGCAUUAUGCUCAUGACACAGACUGUCAGUAUUGCAAGCCCUAUAUGAAGGCUAUGCUUUCAUUGUCGAUGUAUAUACCCCUAGACAACCUUGCUUUAUAUACACAAUUUAACUAUCCAUUAAACGUUUAAAAGCUUAUUAAUAUUAUAUCUGUGUGGUACAGGGGAGGGCUGGCAGCCUUAGGCCUGGGGGGCAAAACCAGUCAAGUGGCCCAUUGCACCUCCAAAUCAGUUCACCAUCCAUGCCCACCUUUUCCUGGUUUUAUAAAGGAUAUUGAUGUUAUGCUAAUCAGUAGCUCUUUGCCAUACCCGCUCCUUCACGGCUCCAGGCACUGCUUGUUGUGAGUGUGAGUGUAAAUUAGGGGCAGAGGGCACUUGCACUGCGGUAAAGAUGGGGCUGGGCAGGAGAGUGCAGUGCAAUCAGUGCACUCCCCUCCUGUGGGUCACCAGUAGACUGGUGCACCUGCCCAGGAUCAAAGCCGGUGCAAGGAUUUUUGCCGCCCUAGACAAAAUAAAAAUUUGCUGCCUCCCCAUGUGACAUCACAAUGCCCUACCCAUAUGAUCUACCAUAUGAACUAACGCCAGUGCUGCACACAGUGUGUUUUUACAUUAAAAAGCCUGCAGGGACCAGCUAUAGACACCAGAACCACUUCAUUAAGCUAUAGUGUCCCUUUAAUGUGAGGUCAAUUAUAGAUUAGUGUCACUAAUAAUAUACUAGAUUGCCUACUUACAAACAGAUGAGGAUGAUGAUGGGCUGCAGUUUGGCUCCACUGGUCUGGUGUAGAACAGGAUCUCUGGAGGCUGUUUGCAACUGUGGUCACAAAAUUCAAUGUUCUGGGAGAAUUGGAAGCAGCUCCAUUUUUUGGGGCCCCUUACACAGCUCAAGGUCUGGGCCCCAGGGCCUGACGGUGAGUAUGCCCAUAAGACCCACUCAUAAGUUCCACCCACCCAUGAGUUCGCUCACAGGGAGUGGAGUGUGUAGGGAUGUGUUAUGUGUUAUUGUAGAGGAUCUAAUAUGUGUGCUUAUGGUAUGUAGUGUUUAGGGUUACCAGUUUGUGCAGGUGAUGCAGUGUGUUUGUGUGUAGUGGAAGCAGUGUGUAUUUGUGUAUAAGGGAUGUAUUAUGUGUUUCNNNNNNNNNNNNNNNNNNNNNNNNNNNNNNNNNNNNNNNNNNNNNNNNNNNNNNNNNNNNNNNNNNNNNNNNNNNNNNNNNNNNNNNNNNNNNNNNNNNNCCCCAAGAACGAGACAAGGCUCCGUGUUGAGGGUCAAGCAGUGGUCUGAGGUGCUGGCACACCCAGCCUGGUUUUAUUACAGUCUUGCAAAUACAGGACCGCCCACAGGGAGGUAUAAAAUAUCCAGUAACAUAUUAGUUACAACCCACAGAUUCCCUCCCCCUUAUCCUGAGAGGUAACCCAAUACACAUACUUUUUACCACAAUGCAUCCUGGCUUCCUCUCCUCUGCCCUGGAGAUAAGUGAGAAGUAAUUCAAUUAUCUCCCAGGACAGGGACAAGACUCCAUUAUGCACAUGGUGACACAAAGACAGUAAAACACUUUAAAAUACAUAAAGUCACAUUUGUUACAUAACACACAGACAUUUAACAUAUCCCCAGAUAGCUCAGGUCUGAGCGCACAUUAUUAAGUGAAUGGCGCUCAGACCACACAAAUACAAUUUAAUCACCAUGGAGCCAAAGUCUUUACAGUCAGUUUCAUAUGAAUGGGCUCCAUGGGAUUCCUAUCUGGGGUAUAACACAUUCAACCAAAACUACCAAACCCCAGGCAGAAAAGCACGAAUGAAGCUUUUCUGCAGGUAAAAAAGAUGUCUUUUAACAGGGGGCCAUAGUCCAAAGGCAGCAGGCGAGCAACCAGGCUUCUCCAAUGCAAUGUGGCGAGAUUGGUCUCGUCACAUCUCUCCCCUUUUCCAAAUAGACUAACAGGGUAUCUGACCUCCUGCCGGUCAGUGUCCUUGUUAGUCCAGCAGCCCACCCACAAAACAUAAUCAACAGCACAGCCCACCCACAAUAAAUAGUUACUGCACCUGGGUAGAGGAGAAGCUUGUCCAUGUCCAGGUGCCUCACCACGGCUGUGCUGGGUACGGGUACACUGACUGGGUGGGUUGCUGCGUGGGCAGAGACCAGCGGCACUCUGCCCUGUUGCCAGCGCUACUGGGAGGGUAGCCUGGUUGAAGCCUGGUUGUUGGCGGGGGAGACCGACUGUCUCUCCUUUAAAUACACAGUCCUGCUGCUGGAGACCGACUGUCUCCCCUUUGGUUACACAGCUCUGCUGCUGGAGGAGGAGACCGACUGUCUCCCCUUUGGAUACUCUAAGCUGUCGCUGGGGAGAGGGGGUAACAGGCUCCUCUCCCGAUAGAACACUCUGCCGCUGGGGAAAUGAGACUGAGCUCUCUAUUCCCUGCCCAUUAAUGAUCCGCCGCUGGGGAGAGGUGGUAGCAAGCUCCUCUCCCAUACAUACUUUCAUCCGCUGUGGAGGGAGACCGACUGUCUCCGCUCCCAAUACAGUGUCCUGCUGCUGGAGAAAGGAGACUGGGCUCUCUAUUCCCUGCUGGAUACUCUGCCGCUGGGGACUGGAGACUGGGCUCCCAAUUCCCAACAAAUAACACUGCCGCUGGGGAAUGGAGACUGGGCUCCCAAUUCCCGGCACAUCACACUGCCGCUGGGGGAUGGAGACUUGGCUCCCAAUUCCCGGCACAUCACACUGCCGCUGGGGAAUGGAGACUGGGCUCCCAAUUCCCAGAAAAUCACGCUGCCGCUGGGGAGGGAGGACACUGCUCUCCUCUCCCUGGACUUCACACUGCCUUCCCGGCAUAUCACUUGGCUGCUGGGGGGCAGGAACAACUACCUCUGCCCCCUGUAACUCAGCCUGUCGCUGGGGAGGGAGGACACUGCUCUCCUCUCCCUGUACUUCACAUUGCCUUCCCGGCAUAUCACUCUGCUGCUGGAGGGCAGGAACAACUACCUCUGCCCCCUGUAACUCAGCCUGCCGCUGGGGAGGGAGGACGCUGCUCUCCUCUCCCUGCACUUUACACUGCCGCUGGGGAGUGGAGACUGGGCUCCCAAUUCCCAAUAAAUCACACGGCCGCUGGGAAAUGGAGACUGGGCUCCCAAUUCCCUGCAGGACCGGUGGAGAGACCUCGGUCCCAUCUCCACCGGCCACCUGGGGUUCUUCCCAGUAACACUCCACAAUAUCUUCCCAGCUGAAUGGGUCUGGAUCUGGGUUUCCGCUUCCCUGCUGAGCCUUCUCACUGGAGUGGAAAAGAUUUUGGUAACCCUGUUCCAGCUCCAUCUCUCGGGUCACCAGGUGGACCAGGUCUUGCUCAAUUUCGUGAGUGUCGUCCCAGUCAUACCUGCUCUCCCUCCACUCAAAGAGAUCACUGAACCGGGCUUGUGUAGGGCUCCCAAACUCAGGCUCUGCAAAAGUCACCCAUAACAAGCCAGGACUAUUAAACUCCUCUCCCUCUGGCUUGUCAUGCUCGGCUUUCCAGGGCAGGUAUUGUGCUCCAUACCACCAGAGCACCUGGUAGGCAUCUUCUAGCCACAUCUCCUGCCAUAGUAGGUGUUCCAAUUUCCUCACCCAUUCUUCCAGGGGCUGCUCUCCCAAGAAGGGCAUCCGCAGGGCUACUCGCUUCUGCAACCGCUGGUCUUCCUUGGGGAAUCUCUCACCCCGCUGGUACUCCACAAUACCCUUUACGGACUGCAUCUCGGUCAUCCAUGGCACCCUCAUCAUACUCCACUGCUGGUUCCAUCUCGGUGCUGUCAGGGUCGCUGUACUGGGACAUGCGUUGCCCUCAAAUUGUAAAAAUCCACGGAAUGGUGUUGCCUGUAGCUGUCCUGUAGUCUGUGGGAACAAUCCCACCGCUGCCACCAAUUGUAACGGACCGUUUUGCAAAAAAGGGGAAAAAAAUGUUUAGGCGAUCGGCCCCCUUUCCAGAGAUACAGGCACCGCUACUGCAGAACACCAAACUCCCGAACUGGAUACAAAAUAGCACUCCAACUCCCGAACUGGAACCUCCCAAAUAGCUACUAGCAGACGAACAGGAAAAGCAGACAAUCAGCUUACACUCCUGGCAAUCAGUCUCUAACAGCAUACAGUGAAUCCCCCCAAGAACGAGACAAAGCUCUGUGUUGAGGGUCAAGCAGUGGUCUGAGGUCCUGGCACACCCAGCCUGGUUUUUAUUACAGUCUUGCAAAUACAGGACCGCCCACAGGGUGGUAUAAAAUAUCCAGUAACAUAUUAGUUACAACCCACAGAUUCCCUCCCCCUUAUCCUGAGAGGUAACCCAAUACACAUACCUUUUACCACAAUGCAUCCUGGCUUCCUCUCCUCUGCCCUGGAGAUAAGAGAGAAGUAAUUCAAUUAUCUCCCAGGACAGGGACAAGACUCCAUUAUGCACAUGGUGACACAAAGACAGUAAAACACUUUAAAAUACAUAAAGUCACAUUUGUUACAUAACACACAGACAUUUAACAUAUCCCCAGAUAGCUCAGGUCUGAGCGCACAUUAUUAAGUGAAUGGCACUCAGACCACACGAAUACAGUUUAAUCGCCAUGGAGCCAAAGUCUUUACAGUCAGUUUCAUACGAAUGGGUUCCAUGGGAUUCCUAUCUGGGGUAUAACACAUUCAAACAAAUCUACCGAACCCCAGGCAGAAAAGCACGAAUGAAGCUUUUCUGCAGGUAAAAAAGAUGUCUUUUAACAGGGGGCCAUAGUCCAAAGGCAGCAGGCGAGCAACCAGGCUUCUCCAAUGCAAUGUGGCGAGAUUGGUCUCGUCACAGAAACCAUUCUGAAAUAUGCAAGAUCUGAUUCAAUCCCUGAGGGGCCCUUCCAGAAAGUCAAAGUAUUUCAAGAUUUAUCCUUUGAAACCAGAACAAAAAGAAAAGCAUUCAGCUCUGCCACACGCUCUUUGAGAAAUCAUAACAUAAAAUAUAAGUGGCUUUUUCCACUAAAACUUAGUCUCUCUUAUGAAGGCAGAAGAGAAAUAUUUGAGACUAGUGCGAGUUUAACAGAAUGGCUUAAAAGUAACAAAUUGUUGCCUUAGUUCUAUGUUUUUUUUGUUGUUUUUUUUUAGAACAUAAAUAUGAUUAUGAGUGUGGGAGGGAGGAGGGGGAGAAGAAAGCGUAAGAGUAGAUUAUAAAUAUUUUUCCCACGUAGUAUAUAAGUAAUCCACAUAUGUUUAAGAAAACUUGUUAUUUUAUGUACACUAAGUAAUAACUUCUUACAAGAAACUAAUAUUUGAAAAAGCAAUAUAUAUUUGCUUGUUUUGGUGUUAGUUCACAUUUUAUAUUAAUUAAUUCUUUCACAUCCCUAUUAUUCUAAGUAUUAAUGAUUGCCACUUAAUAGAACUAUGGUUUAAGUACUAGGUUGAAGGUAACUGAAUGAGUAUUGAAGGCACUUAUUAUACAUAAUAAUUAUAUCUUUAUUCACAAUAUAUUUAUUUUUUAUCUUAUAUACACUAUGAUACUAAAUCUCUUGGGCAGCAGUUCUCCCCUUCUCUUUUUACUAGGGAGAUUUAUANNNNNNNNNNNNNNNNNNNNNNNNNNNNNNNNNNNNNNNNNNNNNNNNNNNNNNNNNNNNNNNNNNNNNNNNNNNNNNNNNNNNNNNNNNNNNNNNNNNNGGGCAAUUGCCUCCCUGCCCCCCGGCCCAGCCCGCCCCUGGUGUGGUACACAAAGAGGGGAUGUGAGUUCGGUAAUCCGGACCUGCAUAUGGAAAAUGCUUCCUCCUUUUGUUCACUUUUGUUCCUUGCUGCUCUGUGACUGGCCCCUUUUGACCCCAAAUGAAUUUCUUGGGAAGAUUCAUAAGAAAGAUACAGCAGGUUGUUUUGAUAGAAAGAAAGAAGGAAAAGGUAUGUUGUAUCAGUUACAAGGACUGUGAUCCUAAGCAGGCGAGACAAAGAAAUUUGGGAGGUGAUAGGAGAUUGAAUCAGAAAAGUUUUAAAGGCAAAGGUAGAGGAUUUGGUCAAAUGUUCUAACUUUUGUAGAGGUAGCAACUUCAGUAUUGGUGGAACACACAGUUCUAAUUGUGGAUAGCAGGGUCACUGGAUAAAUGAGUGCCCAAACCCACCCCCACAGAUUCCUCAAUACCAACCACAAAACCCACACCCAACAAUCCCAGCCUAAUACACAGAUGGUUCAUGUUUUUAAUAUUUUAUAUAGGUUUAGGUGUUAAUCCAAGAGUAUUGAAUUAUUUGGGAUUAUUAAAGUAAUUAAUUUUGAGUAUCAAAUCAAGGUUCAAGUUUAGGAACAGAGUUUUAUUGGGAAUGUAUAUGUAAAUGUUAGUGUUUUAAUAUUCAUCCUAACAAGCAUUUCUAUAGAGUGAGUGCUUCUCUCAUCCGUACAAAGGCAUUCCAAAUGGGUAUUAUGUAAAACUUCACAGAAGACAGAUUGCAUAAAAUAUAAGCAAAUGUAAGAGAAGUACAUGUUACACAAGUUAAGGGUUUAACCUUAAUCUCUAAUUUAAGUUUUAGCCUAGGUAAUAAAUUAAUGAUGUUGUAUUGAUCCUUGUGUUUGUAUGAUUGUAGAGACCGUCCUGGAGUGUUUGUGCCACCUGAUUUCUGGGACUACACAUCAAUCUCUCCGGCUGACCAUGCAAUAAGUAUUUUGCAAUUACAUCUGUUUGGUCAUUAUCCAUGCAGGCCGAAGAAACUGAGAUACCUACUUAUGAGGACAUAAACUUUGCACGCAAGAACCUGGAACGUCCUGAAGGUGCAGUGCUGUCUAAUACCGCUGGUUCUGUAAUAACCCUUUCAACCAUUGGGGUGUUGUACAGAGCAUUGUGGUGAAAAUCCAGCAAACAAAAGAAGAACUAUGUGGAAGCUGACAUUGUCUUGUUGUCAGCCAUAUUGCUACCCUAGCCAUUUUAUGGAACAAAAUGUCUGGUGUCUAAACUGAUUUCUUUAUACUCUGUGAAAGACUUAUUCUAUUUUUCUGAACUAUGCUGAACUAUUGAACUAUUUUUAUUUUUACUUUUGUAGAGUUAGCCGGAGAGAAAGAGGAAGUGUUAAUUGACCCAGGGAUGAAUGUACUAUGUGUGUUUUUGAUAUGUAUUGAGUGUGCCAAGGAUGGAUUCCCAUGUUUUGAGGAACUGUGUGAGGACUGGUUUUGACUGGACCUUUGGAAUAGGAAAAUGGUUAAAAGAUAUAGGAUGCAAGGUCCUGGUUGUGAUUAUUAUCAGAAUUUCAAGCUAGAUUAUAAUUUAUCUCAUUAAUUAAUAUGUAAGAAGUGUUUCCCAAUUUCUCCCAAUACCGAGCUAUGUACUCACAGGUGCGGGUAUUAUAAGUCACAAGUGGUGUCAACUGUGAGGGGAUGACAUGUCUAACGCGAUCGCGGCCCCCACUCAGGUUUUCCCCAGAUGUGCUUUUUCCUCAAAUAUGAGUUUUUGCCACUGGGGUUUUUUGACUGGCCCCAGAUCAUCGGGUGGACUGGUAAUCCUAGACCCCGGUCCUUGGACGGGGGAUAGGUAUUAUUCCCACUUUGACUAUAUGCGCCCACUUCCAUGGACGAAGGAGGAAAACAGCUGUUGGGAAUAAUACACUUGCCCAUAUUUACCCAGGGCUCACGAUACAGAUGACAGGCUGUUUAAAGUCUGUUUAAAAUUGGUUAACAUGUCAGCUAUUUGCAAUAAUACAUUUGCUAUAAGCCCAAGUUCCAUUUUGUCUUAAACAUCCAUUUUCUAUAUAUCUGUCUGUAAAAGUAUUAAGUGUCUUUUUUCCUGCUGAGUUUCUGUUUCUUGUAGACCACAUGAUUGCUUGGGAAUGCCAUAAUGUGGAAGUGUCUCUGUCCUGGGAAGAUUUUAACCGAUAAGAUGAGCAAUUUUUUUUUAUUGCUCAAAGAGGGGAAUGUAAGCAUAUGAAAUAGUUAACUUUUCUUGUUCAUAUGCAUUUUAUGCUUAGAUAAGGUUUAUAAUCAUUAGUGCUGACUGUAAGGAUAUGAAAUGGUUAACUCUUUUUGCUUUAUAUGCUUUAAAAUAAUGUUUGAAAUAAUUAUGCUGACUUUGGCAGAUGUAUUUUGUACCAAGGUCUUUCGUCUACAGGAUGUAUGACCUUGCUCGACCUCAGGAUGUUACUGUGACCUCUUUAUUCAAACGCUUAUCUUUUUAAUGUCAGACAAGUAUGUACUACUAACUUUAAGGAAAUGAUAAAUCUCGCUGCUUGCGUGACAAACUGUGUAUAAAUGCUAGCCCUGAAAAUAUACUCAUUGAGAACUUGUUAAGCACUCUUUCGUGUCUGUGUGUCUUAAUUUGCUAACAAGAACUCCCAUCAAUUGAUGUGGUGACCGGAGGAUCGAGAAUCGAGGGGAGUUGAGUCCAGAACAGCAUU